GACGAACGCUGGCGGCGUGCCUAAUACAUGCAAGUAGAACGCUGAAGGAGGAGCUUGCUCUUCUGGAUGAGUUGCGAACGGGUGAGUAACGCGUAGGUAACCUGCCUGGUAGCGGGGGAUAACUAUUGGAAACGAUAGCUAAUACCGCAUAAGAGUAGAUGUUGCAUGACAUUUACUUAAAAGGUGCAAUUGCAUCACUACCAGAUGGACCUGCGUUGUAUUAGCUAGUUGGUGGGGUAACGGCUUACCAAGGCGACGAUACAUAGCCGACCUGAGAGGGUGAUCGGCCACACUGGGACUGAGACACGGCCCAGACUCCUACGGGAGGCAGCAGUAGGGAAUCUUCGGCAAUGGACGGAAGUCUGACCGAGCAACGCCGCGUGAGUGAAGAAGGUUUUCGGAUCGUAAAGCUCUGUUGUAAGAGAAGAACGAGUGUGAGAGUGGAAAGUUCACACUGUGACGGUAGCUUACCAGAAAGGGACGGCUAACUACGUG
rnacentral:rRNA from 1 species